AGACCAGGGAAGUGUUUGGUGACGAGGAGGACAGGCAGGUUUCUGGUUUCCUUGGUCAUCUUUUUAGACUAGGAAUUCUGGAGACUUGAGCGUGAGAUAGCGAGGUCAGUGGGGAGGGAUGGAGCAAUUUACAGGGCCUGAGUUUCAUGGAGAUUCUAGUGUCCUGUAUGGAGCCUUGUACACUGAGGCCUAAUCCAUUGACUUGGACUGGCCUAUAAAUGGAAAUAGUGAGCCUCCUUGACCUUGGGGCAAGCAGCCAUCUAUUAACAAGAGUAGAGGUAGGGAUUUUUUGUGGGGGGAGAGGGGUGUAGUGAAGGAGUAGGGUGGAUUCUAGAGUCCAGUUUUCUCCUGGACAUCGUAUUCAGCAUUAGCCAGUCCUCAAAAUGGGUGUCUCUGCUUUUCAGUUAGGGGUUGUUUCCAGGGGAGCAGGUGGACAUGGUUAAUCAUUAAAUGGCCAGUCCCCUGGACAGGGAGAGAAGGGGAAUCAGCGAGUGGGUGUGUCUAUGUUUGUAUGUCAAGACCCCAGAUUCACCUGGCUUUGUUCGUGGCGCUCUUUUCCCUCUCCGCUUCUAGCAGCAUCAUCCGACCGGAUCGCGGUGGGUGAGAAGGAAAUUCCUUCGGGGUCUCUGUAGGAGUCAUUGGGCUUCCCCUUUCCGGGCGGAGUUCUGUGUGGAAUGCAUUUCCCAGUUUCUGUAGGUCACGGACGCCGCCCGAUCAUCCCCGUGGGGUCUCGAUUGGUGACACCCCCUUCACCCCCCCGUCAAAUACAGGCAUGUCGAGGUCAAGACCUUGUAGUUCUGAAGUAGGGAAUGAGUGUGAUGCUUUCUCCCUGAUGUUCUGGGGAGUCCCAAAGUAUGGGCAUUGGGACUUUCUUCCACUGAAUGGUAUUUAUGCAGUGAUUACAGUGUGGAGAGUAUUCUCCUAAGCGUUUGGAAAAGGAGAAUCGGCCCUCGGACAGAAAGCCUCGCUAACCAGACCCGGACUCCCGGUAUAGCGCGGGGUGCUCUAAGCAGCCUCGGCCUCCGGGUGGCACGGGAGUCUCUCUUUUCAUGUCCGUCAUCCAAGGAACCCUUUCUAGGGAGACGGUCGAUGAACAUGGUGACUGUGAAGAUGGGACUCGGAGCAGUCCGAGUGGAGACCCCCUCGGUAGAAUUAUGGGGCUUGGGCCUUGGAAGUGAACUUUAAGGACAGGUAUCGGACUGUAGAAUUUGUGUGUGUGAGACUGCCUUGAGGGAAUGAGUGUGAGUGGCCUGGGGGGAAGGAGUAGGGAAGAAGAGGAGGUGGUCGGUGUCCCUAGUAUCUAUUUCUGGAAAGGUAAGACUGGGUCUCUGGGCCGGGACCGGGUCCCGUGCAGCCGGGUGGUGGGUCUGAGGAGAUCUGGGACCUUGAACUCUUUACCAGGGUUUCUCCUCUGUUUGUUCCAGGUCCCGUCUUGGAGUCAUUCUGUCCAUCGUUUGUUUUCCAGAAAGGGAUUUUUCUCGUCAUCCCGGUGGCUCCCAGUAGCGAGAUGGGUCGCGGGCACGUCGCCCGGAGAGGGACAGACAGCAUCCUGAUGUGUGGAGGGUGUUUGGCUUGGAGGUGUUGCUGCUAGUUCCCUCUUGCAGAAAUGGAACCUGGAGGAGCAUGAGGAAAAAUAGCUGCUGUGUGAUGCCAAAAAAUAUUCACAGGGGAUUGUAAUCGUUGAUGAGCGGGUUUAUUUUGGAGACUCCAAAUGUCACCACCAACACAGAACAAGGAUUAUACAUUUUAAUAUUACCGGCAACUAAGAUGCAACCCUUGCAUUUAUAACAAGUGAUGACUUGUCCUGUACACGUUUAGGUUACUCACAUGUGUUGUCUGAUUGUUGAUUUUUCCACUCAUUAAUUCACUAACAGAAAAUAUAUAUGAACAUAGUAAAGCACACAAGAAACAAA